ensembl:rRNA 5S_rRNA 5S ribosomal RNA
ACCAGCAGCCAUAUCACCCUGCAACUCACAACUGGUAACCCAUUGAAGCUCAGCAGGUGUGAGCCUGGUCAGUAUCUGGAUGGGAGACCUCCUGAGAAAAACUAAGGUUGCUGCUGGAA